UACGGGGGGGGCAAGCGUUGUUCGGAAUUACUGGGCGUAAAGGGCUCGUAGGCGGCCAACUAAGUCAGACGUGAAAUCCCUCGGCUUAACCGGGGAACUGCGUCUGAUACUGGAUGGCUUGAGUUCGGGAGAGGGAUGCGGAAUUCCAGGUGUAGCGGUGAAAUGCGUAGAUAUCAGGAGGAACACCGGUGGCGAAGGCGGGUCCCUGGGCCGAAACUGACGCUGAGGAGCGAAAGCGUGGGGAGCAAACAGG
rnacentral:rRNA from 1 species